rnacentral:tmRNA from 1 species
CUGUCAGAAUGGUUGUGUUCAACUCCUGUUGAACUAGGUGAUCCACACCAGUGUUUCGGACAGCGGUUCGAUUCCGCUCAGCUCCAUUCCUCCCAACUCAGGGGGCUGCAAUGGUUUCGACGGGGCAUGAGGAGGGUGACUGAAACCUGCUCGGAGAGCAAACCCGUAACUGCGAACAACAUCGUUCGUUUCUCCCGUCAAGCAGCCCCUGUUGCUGCCUGACCCAUUAAGGGAGAUGGGG